rnacentral:rRNA from 1 species
AGCUAAUAGAUACCCGGGUAGUCCACGCCCUAAACGAUGUCUACUAGUUGUUGGUGGAGUAAAAUCCAUGAGUAAACGCAGCUAAACGCGUGAAGUAGACCGCCUGGGGAGUACGGUCGCAAGAUUAAAACUCAAAGGAAUUGACGGGGGGCCCCGCACAAGCGGUGGAUUAUGUGGAUUAAAUUCGAUGCAACGCGAAAAACCUUACCUGGCCUUGACAUGCCACUAACGAAGCAGAGAUGCAUUAGGUGCCCGUAAGGGAAAGUGGACACAGGUGCUGCAUGGCUGUCGUCAGCUCGUGUCGUGAGAUGUUGGGUUAAGUCCCGCAACGAGCGCAACCCUUGCCAUUAAUUGCCAUCAUUUAGUUGGGCACUUUAAUGGGACUGCCGGUGACAAACCGGAGGAAGGUGGGGAUGACGUCAAGUCCUCAUGGCCCUUAUGGCCAGGGCUUCACACGUAAUACAAUGGUCGGUACAGAGAGUUGCCAACCCGCGAGGGGAGCUAAUCUCAGAAAGCCGAUCGUAGUCCGGAUUGUUCUCUGC